AUUGCACGCUGGCGGCAGGCUUAACACAUGCAAGUCGAACGAGUGGCGGACGGGUUAGUAAUGCUUGGGAAUCUAUCUUAUGGAGGGGGAUCACUACGGGAAACUAUAGCUAAUACCGCAUCCCAUAGGAUAAGCCCAAGUGUGAUUAGGUAGUGGGUGAGGUAAAGGCUCACCAAGCCGACGAUCUCGAGCUGGUCUGAGAGGAUGACCAGUCACACUGGGACUGAGAGACGGCCCAGACUCCUACGGGAGGCAGCAGUGGGGAAUAUUGCGCAAUGGGCGAAACCUGAUGCAGCCAUGCCGCGUGAAUGAAGAAGGCCUGCGGGUUGUAAAGUUCUUUCGGUAGCGAGGCGUUAACUACAGAAGAAGCACCGGCUAACUCCGUGCCAGCCGCCGCGGUAAUAC
rnacentral:rRNA from 1 species